rnacentral:rRNA from 1 species
AUUGAACGCUGGCGGCAGGCCUAACACAUGCAAGUCGAGCGGAGCGGCGGACGGGUGAGUAAUGCCUAGGAAUCUGCCUGGUCGUGGGGGAUAACGUACGGCAAGGGGCGCUAAUACCUCAUGUUAUCAGAUGAGCGAAGGCAGGAUUAGCUAGUUGGUGGGGUAAGGGCCUACCAAGGCGACGAUCCGUAACUGGUCUGAGAGGAUGAUCAGUCACACUGGAACGGAGACACGGUCCAGACUCCUACGGGAGGCAGCAGUGGGGAAUAUUGGACAAUGGGCGAAAGCCUGAUGCAGCCAUGCCGCGUGUGUGAAGAAGGUCUUAGGAUUGUAAAGUACUUUAAGUUGGGAGGCGUUACCAACAGAAUAAGCACCGGCUAACUUCGUGCCAGCAGCCGCGGUAAUUC